rnacentral:rRNA from 1 species
ACCUGGUUGAUCCUGCCAGUUGUCAUAUGCUUGUGUAAAAGAUUGAGCCAUGCACAUUGUAAGAGAGAAUAUGAAUAGACAAUUCUUUUUUGUAAAGAAGAGAAAGUGUACUAUGAGAUUGUGAACGGCUCAUUAAAUCAGCAAUAAUUAAUCGGUGGAUGAAAGAGAUUUUGGAGACGGAAUAACUUGAAUUGGGAAAUCUAUAGCUAAUACGUGUAAAGAAAUGCAAUUUGUUAUCGUUUUGGAUGAGCAGGUUGUAGCGCAUAUUAGAUAGAAAAUUUACAAAAGAAAAGAAGGUUUUUUUUUGAUUAAUAAUAUUCCAAGUAGAUCGUAAAAUUCCCCUUGGGGAAGAGACGAUAAACCGAUGAAAUUUCUGCCCUAUCAACUUUGGAUGGUAGUAUAGGGGACUACCAUGGUAAUAACGGGUAACGGACAAUUAGGGUUGGAUACCGGAGAGGGCGCAUGAGAAAUGGCGACUAUGUCCAAGGAUAGCAGCAGGCGCGUAAAUUACCCAAUCCUGUAGACAGGGAGGUAGUGACAGAACAAUAACAAAUCCCUUAUCGAGUAGCAAUUAGAGGGCAAGCUCUGGUGCCAGCAGCCGCGGUAACUCCAGCAUCUAAAAGUGUAUACGAAUGUUGUUGCAGUUAAAACGCUCGUAGUUGGAAAUGAACAUUUGAUUCAUUUGGAGGAAGAAAGAUAUUUCUUUUUUCCGACUGUGAAUUAAAUAUUUAAAUUUUUUAUUAUUUAUAACUUGUAAGAGAAAUAAAUGAUAAUAAUUUACUUUGAAUAAAUUAGAGUGCUUCAAGCGAUUGGAAGAAUUAAAUCGUAAGGUUUAUUCUUUAUUUUAGUAUCGAUUGAAUAAGAAAGCAUGGGAUAAUAGAAAAGGAUUUGAAAGAACUAAAAAGAAUUGACCUUUUUUUCAAUAGAAGAGUGGUUGUUUUAAAUAAUGAUAAAUAGGAACGGUUGGGGGUAUUUGUAUUGAAUAGUCAGAGGUGAAAUUCAAGGAUUUGUUCAAGACAAGCAUCAGCGAAAGCAUUUACCAAGGACGUGUCCAUUAAUCAAGAACGAAAGCUUGGGGAUCGAAGAUGAUCAGAUACCGUCGUAGUCCAAUGCCAUAAACGAUGCCGACCAAAGAUGAGAGGCAACAGUAAAUAAGUUUUAUUAUCUAUUAGUCGAGAAGAUGGUGAUUUCGUAAGGAUGAAUCAGCUUUUUGAUUAAAAUGUAAUAAAAUAAUUCUAAUAAUCGACUCCUUUUGAAUUUUCUCGGGAAACCAAUUGAGUGCUUGGGUUCUGGGGGGAGUACGGUAUCCGCAAGGCUGAAACUUAAAGGAAUUGACGGAAGGGCACCACCAGGUGUGGAAUCUGCGGCUUAAUUCGACUCAACACGGGAAAACUUACCAGGUCCGGACACAGUGAGGAUUGACAGAUUGAAGUUCUUUCUUGAUUUUGUGGUUGGUGGUGCAUGGCCGUUCUUAGUUCGUGGAUGUGAUCUGUCUGCUUAAUUGCGAUAACGAACGAGACCUUAGUUUAUUAAUUAGUCAAUAUGAGAUUUUUCUCAUUAUUGGAAACUAUUGUAUUUAUAUGGUAGUUUCAUUUUUACUUCUUAAAAAGACAAUGUUCAAUUUAUUUAAAAAUACAAGGAAGUUUUCGGCAAUAACAGGUCUGUGAUGCCCUUUAGAUGUUCUGGGCUGCACGCGCGUACACUGAAAGUUGCAGUAAGUAUUUAGAAAUCAUAAUCAUGUGGAUUCG